rnacentral:siRNA from 1 species
UGGUCGUCAAUAGCUGCCUGU